GAAAGUUGUAGGCGGUUUCUCUGUUCCUUAGUUUUGCGACGUCAUAUAGUGUGGCAACGACCACUAGAACGUAGUUGAUUUGGUUGCGUGUUCUGUCGUUUGGAGAGAUCUAUGUUUCUUUGUGGAUAUUCUUGUGGUCGAAGAGAAUAGCAACACUAAAAUGAAACUGGGCAGGUCACGUGGCUCGAAUGACAUGAAGACGACAUAGGAAUUGGAUGCAAGAGGAACAAGAUCGAAACAGAUGAAAAAAUUAUGAGGGAUCAAUUAUAAUUAUGAGAAAUAUGUCCAGCAGUGGGCAAGCCAAAAUUAAAUGAUGUAUAUUUGUAUAUUAUGUGUUGAUUUUCUUUACUAUGUGAAUGUAUCUGGAUAAUGCGAUUAUUAAAGAAUUAGUUUUUAUUA